GCGGCGGACGGGUGAGUAACACGUGGGCAACCUGCCCGCAAGACCGGGAUAACUCCGGGAAACCGGAGCUAAUACCGGAUAACACCGAAGACCGCAUGGUCUUUGGUUGAAAGGCGGCCUUUGGCUGUCACUUGCGGAUGGGCCCGCGGCGCAUUAGCUAGUUGGUGAGGUAACGGCUCACCAAGGCGACGAUGCGUAGCCGGCCUGAGAGGGUGACCGGCCACACUGGGACUGAGACACGGCCCAGACUCCUACGGGAGGCAGCAGUAGGGAAUCUUCCGCAAUGGGCGAAAGCCUGACGGAGCGACGCCGCGUGAGCGAAGAAGGCCUUCGGGUCGUAAAGCUCUGUUGUGAGGGACGAAGGAGCGCCGUUCGAAGAGGGCGGCGCGGUGACGGUACCUCACGAGAAAGCCCCGGCUAACUACGUGCCAGCAGCCGCGGUAAUAC
rnacentral:rRNA from 1 species